GGUUGGGUGGCACAAUUGGUUAGCGCGUGGAGCUAAUAUUCUCAAUCGAGAUUGCAACUCCAAGGUUGUGGGUUCGAGACCCAUCCUGACCA
rnacentral:tRNA from 1 species